GAAAGUUUAGUUUAUCUAAAACAAAUGUUUUGAAAACAUUUAUUGGAGGAGCUCCUCCAACUUUUA
rnacentral:tRNA from 1 species